GCCAGGCCCAGUGCUAGAAUCUGAGCAGGGAGUUCUCUGGGGCACUUCCACCAUGGCCUGGACUCUGCUUCUGCUUACCCUCCUCAAUCAGGGUUUCUGGGCCCAGUCUGCUCUGACUCAGCCUCCCUCAGUCUCUGGAACUCCUGGACAGUCAGUCACCAUCUCCUGUGCUGGAACCAGCAGUGACAUUGGGAAAUAUAAACAUGUGUCCUGGUUCCAAAGUCAUCCAGGAACAACCCAUAAACUCAUGAUUCACGGUGUUAGUAGUCGGUCCUCAGGGAUCCCUGACCGCUUCUCUGGCUCCAAGUCUGGCACCACAGCCUCUCUGACCAUCUCUGGGCUGCAGCUGGAGGAUGAGGCUGAUUACUACUGCUGUUCAUAUGCAGGCAAUUACAUUUACCACAGUGGGGCAAGUUGA